UACGUAGGUGGCAAGCGUUGUCCGGAUUUACUGGGCGUAAAGAGCGCGCAGGCGGUCGUCCAAGUCGCGUGUGAAAGCCCCCGGCUCAACUGGGGAGGGUCACGCGAUACUGGUCGACUCGAAGGCAGGAGAGGGUAGUGGAAUUCCCGGUGUAGUGGUGAAAUGCGUAGAUAUCGGGGAGGAACACCAGUGGCGAAGGCGACUACCUGGCCUGUUCUUGACGCUGAGGCGCGAAAGCCAGGGGAGCAAACGGG
rnacentral:rRNA from 1 species